AUGGCAAAGAAGGAGUUGUUGAAGGAAUAUGAAGGUGAUGAGUCCAACAAGAAGGAAGUGUCUCGCAGUGACUUCCCUCCAAACUUCUUCUUUGGCGUGGCCACUUCUGCCUAUCAGGUGGAAGGAGCCUACAAGGAGGGUGGUAGUGGUCCAAGUAUUUGGGAUGCUUUUUCACACACUGAGGGAAAGAUCGUUUACAAAAGCAAUGGUGAUGUGGCAGUGGAUCAAUAUCAUAGAUACAAGGAAGAUGUUGAACUUAUAGCCAAGUUGGGAUUCGAAUAUUAUCGCUUUUCCAUAUCAUGGUCUCGUAUCUUCCCUGAUGGUUUAGGAACCAAAAUCAAUGAUGAAGGGAUUAAUUACUACAACAAUCUUAUUAAUGCUCUUCUUGAAAAAGGUAUCUAGCCUUGCAUAACUUUGUACCAUUGGGAUCUUCCUUUGCAUCUUCAUGAGACAAUGGGAGGGUGGUUGAAUAAGCAAAUUGUAAAAUAUUUUGCAAUCUAUGCAGACACUUGCUUUGCAAGUUUUGGUGAUAGAGUAAAAAUCUGGAUUACAAUUAAUGAGCCCCUUCAAACUGCUGUGAAUGGAUAUGAUAUGGGGGGAUUUGCUCCUGGAAGAUGUCAAGGUUCUUCAAUAGAACCAUAUUUGGCUGCGCACCACCAGAUCUUGGCCCAUGCAGCAGCUGUUUCAAUAUACAGAAGCAAGUAUAAGGACAAGCAAGGGGGACAAGUAGGCUUGGUGCUAGACUGUGAGUGGGCAGAGGCUAAUUCAGAAAACAAAUAA